rnacentral:rRNA from 1 species
GCUUGCUACCUGACCUAGCGGCGGACGGGUGAGUAAUGCUUAGGAAUCUGCCUAUUAGUGGGGGACAACAUUCCGAAAGGAAUGCUAAUACCGCAUACGCCCUACGGGGGAAAGCAGGGGAUCUUCGGACCUUGCGCUAAUAGAUGAGCCUAAGUCAGAUUAGCUAGUUGGUGGGGUAAAGGCCUACCAAGGCGACGAUCUGUAGCGGGUCUGAGAGGAUGAUCCGCCACACUGGGACUGAGACACGGCCCAGACUCCUACGGGAGGCAGCAGUGGGGAAUAUUGGACAAUGGGCGCAAGCCUGAUCCAGCCAUGCCGCGUGUGUGAAGAAGGCCUUUUGGUUGUAAAGCACUUUAAGCGAGGAGGAGGCUACUUAGAUUAAUACUCUAGGAUAGUGGACGUUACUCGCAGAAUAAGCACCGGCUAACUCUGUGCCAGCAGCCGCGGUAAUACAGAGGGUGCGAGCGUUAAUCGGAUUUACUGGGCGUAAAGCGUGCGUAGGCGGCUUUUUAAGUCGGAUGUGAAAUCCCUGAGCUUAACUUAGGAAUUGCAUUCGAUACUGGGAAGCUAGAGUAUGGGAGAGGAUGGUAGAAUUCCAGGUGUAGCGGUGAAAUGCGUAGAGAUCUGGAGGAAUACCGAUGGCGAAGGCAGCCAUCUGGCCUAAUACUGACGCUGAGGUACGAAAGCAUGGGGAGCAAACAGGAUUAGAUACCCUGGUAGUCCAUGCCGUAAACGAUGUCUACUAGCCGUUGGGGCCUUUGAGGCUUUAGUGGCGCAGCUAACGC